AAGUUUCUGACAGUUUUUUUUUUUAUAACUAAGAAACUGGUACAGAGCUGCAGAGAGCGUAUGCAAUCAAUGUUAAAUAUCCAAUUUUUAAUUGAAUUCAUCUCGGGUUAUAGAUGGUCAAUCGACUUAAAAUUUUAAGGAUAAUUGUAUCAUCAUGUCCUUAAUAAGUAUAC